AGGAUGAUUUUGCUGCACUAUCUGCUAUCCAGUUGAUUAUUGGGGUGAAUUUAGUUCAUCUGGAUGAUUCACCAGGUGUUCCUUUCAUUCCU
ensembl:misc_RNA 7SK 7SK RNA